AGCUUCAAGACUGAGGCCCAGAAUAUCAGGAGGUCUGAAGAGGAAGGAUUAAUACUGAGAUCUACCUAAGAGUGUACAGAUGACACAGUGCAUCCAUGGGCACUGGUGCUGUUCUGCAUACUGGAAGGAAUGCUUGGAGACUCAUACACUUUCCUGCUAGGCACCAGCUCUUCCCAGUUGAGAUUCUCUUGCCUGAUGAGUCCUCAUUUCAUCAGCCACUGAAGAAGCAGGAAGAGGGACAAUGCCCUUUGCUUUAACCUCUGUGACUGCCUUGAAAGCUUGCAGUAGCACCUGUUCCAAAGGCAAUUGGAAAAGCUUGUCCAUAUCCAGAUUCUUAAUUUCCAACCCACGAGCAACAUUUUAGGGCUUAAGGCACAGUACCAUAUUUCACUUUGUAAGAACUGAAGAUUUUAUGUGAACUUGUGCUAUUCAAUCCUCAUUCAGACUUUCCUGAUUCAGCUGAAACACCAGAAGGAGGCAGGCUCUUCCGGCACUUAUCAGAUGGUCUGGGGCAUCUGAGACCUCCUCUGAUAUUUAAUCGUGCCAAACUUGUGACAGUAUUUACGGUGCAGGUGAUUCUUUUCUAA